rnacentral:tRNA from 1 species
AAAAACUUAGGAUAAUAAAAACCAAGAACCUUAGAGAAUCGAAGCCCG